GUUGUGUGGUUUGAGAGGAGUUUCGAUGACAAACUGUUGCAGUAGUACAUUAAAGUAAAUAAGUUCGAAGGGGCGUAACUCCUAGAAAAAAAAUUGAAUCGCAAUUUCCCGUCGAUAUGCACAACUACAUAGUAUGUCCUUAUUAUCUGAAAAGGUUUCGUGAAAUUCUGUUGUGUGGUUUGAGAGGAGUUGCGAUGACAAACUGUUGCAGUAGUACAUUAAAGUAAAUAAGUUCAAAGGGGCGUAACUCCUAGAAAAAAAAAUUGAAUCACAAUUUCCCGUCGAUAUGCACAACUACAUAGUAUGUCCUUACUAUCUGAAUAGGUUUCGUGAAAUUCUGUUGUGUGGUUUUGAGAGGAGUUGCGAUGACAAACUGUUGCAGUAGUACAUUAAAGUAAAUAAGUUCAAAGGGGCGUAACUCCUAGAAAAAAAAUUGAAUCGCAAUUUCCCGUCGAUAUGCACAACUGCAUAGUAUGUCCUUAUUAUCUGAAAAGGUUUC
rnacentral:lncRNA from 1 species